AACCCAUGGUGAGGGCAUCUUCUCAAAAGGUCAUUGUAUCUCUCCCAUACGUCGUAAAGUGUUUCUAAAUCCAUCUGCAUAAAAAAAGAGAUAUCAUUAUGUAAUU
rnacentral:snoRNA from 1 species